rnacentral:rRNA from 1 species
GACGAACGCUGGCGGCGUGCUUAACACAUGCAAGUCGAGCGGUAAGGCCCUUUCGGGGGUACACGAGCGGCGAACGGGUGAGUAACACGUGGGUGACCUGCCCUCAGCUCGUGGGAUAAGCCUGGGAAACCGGGUCUAAUACCGGAUAUGACUCCAUGACGCAUGUUGUGGGGUGGAAAGCCUUGUGCGGCUGAGGAUGGGCCCGCGGCCUA